GACAUAAAUGUAAAUGUGUUAGCUGACAUAGAGGACAGCUACAUGCAGUCUGAAAACCUUUGUUGUCAAGUUUGCAGGUCUAUCAGCACGAGACAUUCUUACAUAGAAGAGACUGUUAAAGUCUCUAACUCAGUGAAGCAUUAUUGGUCCCGUCUGUUUGGAUAAAUAUAGUAAGCUGAUGUUUGUCCAUUUAUUGACACAUUUUCUUAAGUGCUUAUCCAGUUCAGGAUCACAGUGGAGCUGCAGCUGGAUGUGUUCAGUAAAGAAACCUUACAAAAGUUAACAUAAACCUGCAUCUCUGAGGCACUGAAAGGUUUCCCUAAUAGUUCCUGGUGAAUCAAAGCAGAACCAUAAAGGUUGCUGGACUGCAUGAUGGCCUUACCCCUGAGCAGUCAUCCUGUUAAAGGAGGAACCAGUUAGAAGCUGUUUUCAAAGUAGCUGAGCAGAUUUCAUCUCAACAGACAAAGCCAAUGGCAGAAGAUGUUUGGAGAAGAACUUCAGGCCGUGGACUGAAAAGUAGAUCAAAGCAGCUCGUGCUCUGUCUGCUUCCAUUCUGAUGGCAAGAAGAAGAAGGAGACUUCAGCGAAGUGGCGUUCAUGGUCUCAGUGGACAGUCAUGGUCACACACUGCAUGUGGUUUUAAAAGCAACAUGUCUGUUCACCACAACGAUCGAGAUGUGUAAUAUUAGUGCAGCUACGGUUUGUUCUUGAACAUCAGUUCUGUUUUCUACUUUGACCACUUAGACCAAAAAAAGUGUUGUUUUCAGAUUCUUUCUUUUUAAAUCUAUAAAGCACCUGUUCAUUUUUUAUUACAAUUAGUUUCACAUAAAUGUUAGUGUUUCCUUUAUGAUCUUUUAAUGCUUACACUACACUGUACACGUCUACAUUAGAGACAUUUCUGUUACCUAUGUAUGAGACUGGGCUGCUUGACUACAAUUUGGAAAUGGAUGCAAAAUCACAGGGAUCGUGCUAUUGUUUGUUUUUUAAUAUGAUGGACUGAACACAGGACGUGUCUGACUAAGCAAACAUUAGUCCGAUCCCAUUUCUACCUGUCUCUACUGUUUCAACUGUAACUGUCAGGAUAUAUAUUUAUUCCAGCUCUCAUAGGGCAAAGGAAUGACUCAGACUUGUCAAAUGUUCUUUGACUUGAUAAACAAUUUGAAGUUCACAAUUUUCUUACAAAUAAAACUAUAAUGACAAACAUGAA